rnacentral:ribozyme from 1 species
UGCGGCCCCUGGGAAGUUCUGUGAGUGGCCUCUUGACGUCUUUAGGAUUGCACCCCGGACGUGCCUAUGCGGUUGUAGAGGGAGGAGAUCCAGAAGAAGACCUUGAGGGGGGGAGGACGAGCUG